rnacentral:rRNA from 1 species
UACAGAGGGGGCAAGCGUUGUUCGGAAUUACUGGGCGUAAAGGGCGCGUAGGCGGCCUUCUAAGUCGAACGUGAAAUCCCUGGGCUCAACCCAGGAACUGCGUCCGAUACUGGAAGGCUUGAAUCCGGGAGAGGGAUGCGGAAUUCUAGGUGUAGCGGUGAAAUGCGUAGAUAUCUGGAGGAACACCGGUGGCGAAGGCGGCAUCCUGGACCGGUAUUGACGCUGAGGCGCGAAAGCCAGGGGAGCGAACGGG